rnacentral:lncRNA from 1 species
CUCUUUCUUUCUACUUCCUCUGGCAGGUGGCUAGAAAACUGUGGCAUUCAAAAGAAAAGUGUCGACAAUUUAGAGCUGGAUAAAUCUGCUUUUGAACUAUACCCUGACCAAUGGAAUUUAAGUGAGCACUGCUCGAGGCUCUUUUCACACCAGAGGGCUAGAAGCAGGGAACUCAGAGAUGGCAACUUCAGCAGCAAAGAAAGAGAACCGGAAGUGGAGAAAGCUUAGCCUCUCGAAAAGCCCGCCCCUCAGUGCCAUCUUUCCUGCAGUACAGUUCUACCACCUAAAAGUCCAUACCAGCCAGGCACCCCGCAUGACAAUACCCGAGUCUGUGGGUCAUUCUCAUUCAAACCACCACAUC